UUAGUAUUUCCAUGGGUAGUGUUAUGAGUCUAGUGAUAGUUUGACAAGGCUUUGGUAGAGGUUGUUGUGUUAGUAUUUCCAUGGGUAGUUUUAUGAGCCUGGUGAUAGUUUGACAAGGCUUUGGUAGAGGUUGUUGUGUUAGUAUUUCCAUGGGUAGUUUUAUGAGCCUAGUGAUAGUUUGACAAGGCUUUGGUAGAGGUUGUUGUGUUAGUAUUUCCAUGGGUAGUGUUAUGAGCCUGGUGAUAGUUUGACAAGGCUUUGGUAGAGGUUGUUGUGUUAGUAUUUCCAUGGGUAGUGUUAUGAGCCUGGUGAUAGUUUGACAAGGCUUUGGUAGAGGUUGUUGUGUUAGUAUUUCCAUGGGUAGUUUUAUGAGCCUAGUGAUAGUUUGACAUGGCUUUGGUAGAGGUUGUUGUGUUAGUAUUUCCAUGGGUAGUGUUAUGAGCCUGGUGAUAGUUUGACAAGGCUUU